rnacentral:rRNA from 1 species
GGAGUUUGGUCCGUGUCUCAGUGCCAAUGUGGGGGACCUUCCUCUCAGAACCCCUACUGAUCGAUGGCUUGGUGGGCCGUUACCCCGCCAACAACCUAAUCAGACGCAUCCCCAUCCUAUACCGAUGAAUCUUUGCUUCACGUCAGAUGCCAUCUAUGAAGAACAUAGGGUAUUAAUCCGACUUUCGCCGGGCUAUCCCCUACUAUGGGGAAGGUUGGAUACGCGUUACUCACCCGUGCGCCGGUCGCCAUCAAAGGAAGCAAGCUUCCUUCAUGCUGCCCCUCGACUUGCAUGUGUUAAGCCUGUAGCUAGCGUUCAUC